ACAUCGAAGCACGCGAUGACAGGAAUGGCAUUUGUUACAAAUUUCCAAAUUGGCUAGAGCUGUCAGAACACUUUGUGAUACAAAGUGUUGCAUUUGUUCAGGCUGUUAAAUGGGACACUAUACAAGUCACUAUUAUCGUUGGAAGGCAUUAGACAUCAAAAAGCAAGCUGAAUAAACCGUGGAAUUGUUGGGAUUGUCUUAGGAGACAGCUACAAAUGGUCGAAAAUGUUAAGAUUCUUGUGAUAUCUGCGUGGCAUUGGCCCACUUCCUGUUUUGAACUCUUACGAUGACGAAAGGAAAUAACGCAUCACUUGUAGUGUUUUCAUCAAUAUUUUCUCUGAUUUCGUUCCAUUUCAGUGCUCAUGGCCGAUAUCUGCAAUUUCUCGUGACUCAGGAUAUGUCCUCUUCUUUACUGUGGUAUUGAGAUCAGAACAUCCCACGAGAGUGUUUCAUAAAAUUAAAACAGAUUAUGAUAGAUGGGGUGUGAAAGAAACAGCUAUCGAGCAAACUGUGACCUUUCACUUUAAAACCAAUGGACCACACAGUAAGAUUAGUGAAGACUAAGAAACUGUUAAGUGGAAGCAAAAUAAAAAUCAGUGCGCCAAAUUUGCAAUUUUUUUCCCCAAACUUUCUGUUGAUUAGAGAAUUAUCUCAUUUUUUAGAAUUAUUGAAGCAUCUCAGCGAUGUUAUUUGAAUUAUCGCUAAUGACUCCGGAGUGAUUGUAGAGUUCCUGUGAGAGUGUGUUUUGCAGUCCAGCUGCUCCGUCGAUCUACUGUACAAAAAGCUCUGUAAUGUGUUUGCUCAGUAUCUGUCACUAGGGGUAAUUUAUUUCGUUAUCUCUCGGGGAAAGGUUUUAAGACGUGAUGUCAUUAGAUGUAAUUACCUGAUACGUUCUUAUUUUCAUACCUUUCAGGCUAUAACGUGUUUCCUUGACAUCAAGGCGAUUAGCUCGAGGCCGGAUCUUGAUUUCUUUUAUUUGUGCAUUUAGGAGGUUUUUUUCCCAGCGAUUUUAUUAGUGAUGAAAAGCGCAGAAAAAUAAUCGACCUUACGAAGGCGAAGGGCGCAUUUCUCUUAUCGCGAUUGUGAUUGUGAUUGUGCAAUUAUUGUAGAUAGGAGUGGAGGCUGCCUACUUCUAGUGUAAACUUCAUUCGAUCUUUCUUAUUCUUGAUCGUGAUUUGCUCUUCUAUAUUCCAAAAUAUCGUUAUCAAAGGAUAGGGAAAAUUACUAUGUUUGGGGACAUAAGAGUUCGUUAACCGGAGCUAUACCGGUGGUGCCGAUAAAUGUGUGAAACAAACAACUUCGAGUUAGCGUGAAUUUUUACAUAAAACUUUAUGCACACUUGAUUUAGAUCGUUGUUCAGCUCAAUAUCGUAACAUCAGCCUUUGACUGCGUGCAGUGAUUAUGCUGAUUUUUAUGGUCUGAUCUUAGUCGAUCGUGAGUGUGGUGAGGUUAUAAUGCCAGAAUUUACCAAAACAUUUUAUGGCUAAAGGGGUUUAGAAAUUGCUCCUUACUUUGUUCAUUAGCGUAACAAAACUUUUAUGGUCUACUAGCCCUCCGUUAUCUCUUUCAUCUCAUCAGAUACAAUUAGGCAUCUAUAAGCGUCAGGCUUAUGACUUCUUAUAAAUAUAUUGUCUUCUCGAAAGGUGACUGAUGCACUAUAGGGCAAUUGUUAGCCAAUUUUUGGAGGCGUUCCUAAUUUAAGGACCUCUUAGCACAGGAGUAGUAGAGCGCGUGUGUUUAUCUAUGAAUGACAAAUCCACUGAAAACUUUGCCGUUAGAGUUGAGCCGAGUUAAGUUAGGUUCAGAGCAAACUGCUUGUUUACUGAUAUGGGGAAAGGGUGCACAUAAUGCAUUGCUGUUUAUUAAAAGGUGUCCAUUAACGUUCCCGA